UCUCCAACCACACCAACUUUUUGCAGAGCAGUAUGCCAAUUCUUAGCCCAAAUGUAGCUGGUGCAUGGCUCGAAUUGCAUGCAUAAUGUUGUAUUGGCAGCAUCAGUUUAUCAUUGCUCAGUUCCUUCAGGAUUCAUGCCUGAGCUACCAGAUGAAGGAUUAUUAGCAUGAAAAGCUGACUGCCUG